ACCUUACAUUAUCUCAGCUGGUAAAGUAUGAAACUCUUAAUCUCAGGGUUGUGGGUUUGAGCCCCACGUUGGGCA